AACUGUUGGGCCCUGACAUGUGCCUGAGGCCUAGUGCAACUUCCUGAUCUUGACUAGAAGUAGAUCCAUCGAGCUACUUCCAGAUAGCAAUGACUCAGCAAGGCCAGGCCUGAAACUGCCUCUACCUAGAUACAGCCAACGUGGCAUCAUGCCAUUGGUCCAACCUUGUUACCACCCAUCACAUCACCUCAGUCCCCGCCUCCUUUCCCGCCCCUUCCACACGCCCUAUAUAAGCGGCUGCUUGUCACAAUAAAGUUGAGUUCCUGCUUCGACAGACUCCCGGCUCCCUGUGUGGAAGCUCACCAUCCUGCUCAGCCCCUGGGACAAGAUCGGGCUGGCCCCGAUCUUCCCUCAACUGCGACUGCCGGAGGACCCGGCAGAUUGGUGCCCCGUGUGAGGAACUCGGCUCCCAACACAAAGAUCACUGACGGGCCUGUCGGUCUGCGGGAGAAGUGCUGCUUUUAUGCCAACAGAUCUGGGAUCGUGCAAAACAAGAUCAAAACACCCCAAGAAGAUCUAGAAAAGAAAAGAAAGGA